rnacentral:rRNA from 1 species
UACGAAGGGGGCUAGCGUUGCUCGGAAUCACUGGGCGUAAAGGCGCGUAGGCGGCCAUUCAAGUCGGAGGUGAAAGCCCAGGGCUCAACCCUGGAAUUGCCUUCGAUACUGUUGGCUAGAGACCGGAAGAGGUAAGUGGAACUGCGAGUGUAGAGGUGAAAUUCGUAGAUAUUCGCAAGAACACCAGUGGCGAAGGCGGCUCACUGGCCCGGUACUGACGCUGAGGUGCGAAAGCGUGGGGAG